UACGAGGGGGGCGAGCGUCGUUCGGAAUUACUGGGCGUAAAGGGCGCGUAGGCGGUUUGAUAAGUCAGAUGUGAAAGCCCACGGCUUAACUGUGGAAGUGCAUUUGAAACUGUGAGACUUGAGUACCAGAGGGGAAAGUGGAAUUCCCGGUGUAGAGGUGAAAUUCGUAGAUAUCGGGAGGAAUACCGGUGGCGAAGACGACUUUCUGGCUGGAUACUGACGCUGAGGCGCGAAAGCGUGGGGAGCAAACAGG
rnacentral:rRNA from 1 species